GACGAACGCUGGCGGCGUGCCUAAUACAUGCAAGUCGAGCGAAGCGGCGGAUGGGUGAGUCACGCGUGGGUAACCUGCCCUUAAGGCUGGGAUCCCAUUUGGAAACCGAUACUACUACCGGAUACUAAUGGAUGGACCUGCGAUGCAUUAGCUAGUGGGUAAGGUAACGGCCUACCAAGGCGAGGAUGCAUAGCCGAGUUGAGAGGCUGAUCGGCCACAUUGGGACUGAGACACGGCCCAAACUCCUACGGGAGGCAGCAGUAGGGAAUCUUCCGCAAUGGACGAAAGUCUGAUGGAGCAACGCCGCGUGAGUGAAGAAGGUUUUCGGAUCGUAAAGCUCUGUUGUUGGAGAAGCGGUAAUCAACCAGAAAGCCACGGCUAACUACGUGCCAGCCGCCGCGGUAAUAC
rnacentral:rRNA from 1 species